GAUCAUGGCUCAGAUUGAACGCUGGCGGCAUGCUUACACAUGCAAAAGUCGAACGGUAACAGGCCUUCGGGUGCUGACGAGUGGCGAACGGGUGAGUAAUGCAUCGGAACAUACCCAGUCGUGGGGGAUAACGUAGCGAAAGUUACGCUAAUACUGCAUACGUCCUGAGGGAGAAAGCGGGGGAUCGCAAGACCUCGCGCGAUUGGAGUGGCCGAUGUCAGAUUAGCUAGUUGGUGGGGUAAAGGCCCACCAAGGCGACGAUCUGUAGCGGGUCUGAGAGGAUGAUCCGCCACACUGGGACUGAGACACGGCCCAGACUCCUACGGGAGGCAGCAGUGGGGAAUUUUGGACAAUGGGGGAAACCCUGAUCCAGCCAUGCCGCGUGCGGGAAGAAGGCCUUCGGGUUGUAAACCGCUUUCAGCCGGAAAGAAAUCGCACGGACCAAUACUCUGUGUGGAUGACGGUACCGGAAGAAGAAGCACCGGCUAACUACGUG
rnacentral:rRNA from 1 species